UACGUAGGGUGCAAGCGUUGUCCGGAAUUAUUGGGCGUAAAGGGCGCGUAGGCGGCUCGGUAAGUAGGGGGUGAAAUCCUGCGGCUUAACCGCAGGGCUGCCUUCUAAACUGUCGAGCUUGAGCACGGUAGAGGCAGAUGGAAUUCCCGGUGUAGCGGUGGAAUGCGUAGAGAUCGGGAAGAACAUCAGUGGCGAAGGCGGUCUGCUGGGCCGUUGCUGACGCUGAGGCGCGACAGCGUGGGGAGCAAACAGG
rnacentral:rRNA from 1 species